rnacentral:lncRNA from 1 species
GGGGGAUCAAGUGAGACAACAUGCCUAAAGUACUUUGGAAACCCUGAAGUUCUAUAUAAAUGCUUGUCAUUUUUCUAGCAUGAGGAAGAAGGUGAUUCUCCACAUGGGAUCACUGACCAUGGAAACCAUUCUCAAUGUCACUCACCUGCUACCUUCCAGAGUUGUUGCAGGAUUGCUUGGUGAGAGCAUCUUAGACCCAGAGGCAGCCUCCUUAGUUGCCAAAGCCAAGGAUGGGCUCUGGCUUCCUUCAGUGCACCCCACUCUCCUCUCUAAAGGGCAUGAGAUAAAAAAGAUUCAGUGGUUUGGACAAGAUGGAUGCAUCUCAGAGCGAAGCAGAAUUCUGGAAAAUCUUGAAACCCAAACGUGCCUCAAUAUCUUCCUCUUUUCUUUUCCCAAGUCUCUCUACACAGAGUUUCUCUCCAGGUUCUUGCUGAUGUCUGAGUUCUGUUGCCAUGGGAUAUAUAUAUAAGGGCCCCCUGAGUUGUUGUUGUGGCAACGAGAUCAGUAACCAUUAUUAUCUCUGGAGGAACUGAAGCAAGUGGAGAGGCUGACUGUAUACUCCCAUUCCACCCCCUCCCCCAUCCACUGCCCCCCAUCUCCUUGGCUUCUCCCUAGGAAGUGCCAGUGCAUCCUCAAGGUUGGGAAGAGGUGAUGGUCCAGAAAUCAGGCAGCUGUUGAGAAGGUCAGGAUGACUCUGGAAGCAGAGGAGAGUGCUGACAAGGGAGAUGAGGAGGACAAUGCAAAUGCCUUCUACCCCUACCCAGAGUCUUCGGGGAGGGAAAGAAAAAGGAGGCACAGACCUCGCCAACCACCUGAGCUGAUUACAAAGAUCCUUGCCCAGAAGAAAGUCAGUCCCCGAGGAAGCAGAGGGACAGUUGAAAGCCUGAAGCCCAGUCCCUGUGAGCCGGAGAAGCUGCCCUUCCCCUUGUCCCCAGCCUGCUCUCGAGAAAGGAAGCUCUUCAAGGCCAAGUGGAGUAGUUCCAGCAGGUUCCCAAAGUGGGGUGCCCCUGACUGCUUCUUCCUGCCAGUUCCUGAGGAUACGUUCAUAGAGGACAUGGUGACAGAGCACCCCUGCUACCAGAGCAAUGCCCAGCAGAAACCCAAACACUACUGGGCCAGUGCGGCCGCCAAAAUCCCUCCAUACCGAGGCCCUUUCCUGGGGACCUUGUUAGGGUGGAAUAAAGACACCGAGUAGUUACAGCCAAAGUUUUAUUUAGCAGCACAUGUGGUUGCAGAAACAAAGUGGGUUCAAGGCUCUUAGUCUGCACAAGAAGUCAGAACAUUGACUUAUGGUUGAAGGAAUAAAAAACAGAAUGUAGGUAUUGAGCCA